rnacentral:rRNA from 1 species
AUGAAUCUGGAAUGUGCCAUUGGAGAGUUUCCAUGCAAAUAUCUGGGGAUCCCAUUGGCUAUUAAGCAACUUACAUGGGCUGAUUGGCAACUGCUGCUGGAUCAAGUCCGAAAGAUCUUGCCUACAUGGCAGCGUGGACUUAUACAAAGACCUGGAAGACUAGUGCUUGUCAAAUCGGUUAUGGCGGCAAGGCCCAUACAUCAGCUAACGGUGUUGAAUGCACCAGACUGGGUUUUUGAGGAUAUUAAUGCGUGGCUGAGGUCAUUCUUUUGGGCUGGUAAGGAUCAAGUUAACGGUGGCCAGUGCCUAGUUGUGUGGAACACGAUAUGUCGUCUAACUUACUACGGAGGAUUGGGAAUGAAGAACAUUAAGAUGCAAGCCUUGGCCCUUAGAGUAAGGUGGGAGUGGCUCAGGAAAUUUGACCAAUCUAGACCGUGGCAAGGAAUCCCUUUCCUGAUUGAUGAGGAUGUGAGGAGUGUGUUCAACAGCUUGGUGAAGAUCAUCGUGGGCAACGGUGAAAGAGUGCUCUUCUGGAAAGAUAGAUGGCUAAAUGGAAUGUCUAUGGCUGACGUUGCUCCGACUAUACUCACGAUGGUGCACAAGCGAGCGCAGAACCCGCGUACGGUCUUGGUUAAUAACCAUUGGGGACAAGACAUAUGUUGUAGGGUGGAACCCUAG